rnacentral:rRNA from 1 species
CCUACGGGCGGCUGCAGUGGGGAAUAUUGGACAAUGGGGGCAACCCUGAUCCAGCCAUGCCGCGUGUGUGAAGAAGGCCCUCGGGUUGUAAAGCACUUUCAGUGAGGAAGAACGCCUGGUGGUUAAUACCCAUCAGGAAAGACAUCACUCACAGAAGAAGCACCGGCUAACUCCGUGCCAGCAGCCGCGGUAAUACGGAGGGUGCGAGCGUUAAUCGGAAUUACUGGGCGUAAAGCGCGCGUAGGUGGCUUGAUAAGCCGGUUGUGAAAGCCCCCGGCUCAACCUGGGAACGGCAUCCGGAACUGUCAAGCUAGAGUGCAGGAGAGGAAGGUAGAAUUCCCGGUGUAGCGGUGAAAUGCGUAGCGAUCGGGAGGAAUACCAGUGGCGAAGGCGGCCUUCUGGACUGACACUGACACUGAGGUGCGAAAGCGUGGGUAGCAAACAGGAUUAGAUACCCUAGUAGUC